rnacentral:rRNA from 1 species
CCCGACUGCUAUUUGGGUGAGGAUAAGCCAUGCGAGUCGAAUGGGAUACCUAAAUUUCCCAUGGCGAACUGCUCAGUAACACAUGAUCAACUUACCCUAUAGAGAAACAUAACCUCGGGAAACUGAGGAUAAUUUUUCAUAGUUGAAUAGGCUUGGAAAAGUUUUUCAAUAAAAGGGAUAAAAAAAAUGGUUUUUAUCUGCUAUAGGAUAGGAUCGUGGACGAUUAUGGUUGUCGGUGAGGUAAUGGCUCACCAAGCCGAUAAUCGAUAGGGGCCGUGAGAGCGGGAGCCCCGAGAUGGGUACUGAGACAACGACCCAGGCCUUACGAGGCGCAGCAGGCGCGGAACCUCCACAAUACACGAAAGUGUGAUGGGGUUACCCAAAGUGUUCAAUUCUGAACUGUGGUAGGUGAGUAAUGUCCCCUACUAGAAAGGAGAGGGCAAGGCUGGUGCCAGCCGCCGCGGUAAAACCAGCUCUUCAAGUGGUCGGGAUAAUUAUUGGGCUUAAAGUGUCCGUAGCCGGUUUAGUAAGUUCCUGGUAAAAUCGGGUAGCUUAACUAUCUGUAUGCUAGGAAUACUACUAUACUAGAGGGCGGGAGAAGUCUGAGGUACUACAGGGGUAGGGGUGAAA